GGGUCAGUAGGUUGGUCGUGCCACCGGUACGUACUGGUCUCACUGAUUCCUCCUUCCUGAAGAACCGUAAUGCCAUUAAUUUGGUGUUGCGGGGAAACAGGACUGUUACUUGGAAAAAAUUAGAGUGUUUAAAGCAAGCUAACGCUUGAAUACAUUAGCAUGGAAUAAUGAAAUAGGGCGAUCGAUCCUAUUUUGUUGGUUUCUAGGAUUGACGUA
rnacentral:rRNA from 1 species